rnacentral:rRNA from 1 species
UGGGGAAUAUUGCACAAUGGGCGCAAGCCUGAUGCAGCCAUGCCGCGUGUAUGAAGAAGGCCUUCGGGUUGUAAAGUACUUUCAGCGAGGAGGAAGGCGGUAAGGUUAAUAACCUUAUCGAUUGACGUUACUCGCAGAAGAAGCAACGGCUAACUCCGUGCCAGCAGCCGCGGUAAUACGGAGGGUGCAAGCGUUAAUCGGAAUUACUGUGCGUAAAGCGCACGCAGGCGGUCUGUCAAGUCGGAUGUGAAAUCCCCGGGCUCAACCUGGGAACUGCAUUCGAAACUGGCAGGCUAGAGUCUUGUAGAGGGGGGUAGAAUUCCAGGUGUAGCGGUGAAAUGCGUAGAGAUCUGGAGGAAUACCGGUGGCGAAGGCGGCCCCCUGGACAAAGACUGACGCUCAGGUGCGAAAGCGUGGGGAGCAAACA